CAUUUUUUUGUAUUUUCAGACUAUUAAUUACAAGCACAGCAUCAUCAACGGUGAUUGCAAGAACUACUGCAAUCCCUGCGGUUUUUCCUCUUGGUAAAUGCACAUAGAGGUUGU